rnacentral:rRNA from 1 species
UACGUAGGGGGCGAGCGUUGUCCGGAUUUAUUGGGCGUAAAACGCUUGUAGGUGGCUACGUCAAGUCGGACGUGAAAUCUCCCGGCUUAACUGGGAGGGGUCGCUCGAUACUGGCGAGCUCGAGGCAGGUAGGGGGAAGCGGAAUUCCCGGUGUAGUGGUGGAAUGCGUAGAUAUCGGGAGGAACACCAGUGGCGAAGGCGGCUUCCUGGACCUGUUCUGACACUGAGGAGCGAAAGCCAGGGGAGCAAACGGG